rnacentral:rRNA from 1 species
UUGAAUUUUAAUUUAAAGUCUAGCCUGCCCACUGAAAUUAAUUUUAAUGGCCGCAGUAUUUUGACUGUGCAAAGGUAGCAUAAUCAUUAGUUUUUUAAUUGAAAGCUUGUAUGAAAGGUUGGACGAGGUAAAAUCUGUCUCUAUUUAAUUUAUUUUAGAAUUUAAUUUUUAAGUUAAAAAGCUUAAAUUUUAUUAAAAGACGAGAAGACCCUAUAGAUCUUUAUAAUUUUUUUUAUAAAUUUAAUUAUGAAUUAUUUAGAAUUUAUAAUAUAAAUUAUUUUAUUGGGGUAAUAAAAAGAUUAAAAUAAUUCUUUUUUAUUUUUAACAUUAAUUUAUGAAUUUAAUGAUCCAAUUUUAUUGAUUAUAAGAUUAAGUUACCUUAGGGAUAACAGCGUAAUUUUUUUAGAGAGUUCAUAUCGAUAAAAAAGUUUGCGACCUCGAUGUUGGAUUAAAGAUUAGUUUAGGUGUAGAAGUUUAAAUUUUUGGUCUGUUCGACCAUUAAAUCUUUACAUGAUCUGAGUUCAGACCGGCGUAAGCCAGGUCGGUUUCUAUCUUUAAUAAUUUUAAAAUAUUUUAGUACGAAAGGACCAAAUAUUUAAUAUAUUUAUAUUUUAUUUUUUGAAUAUUAUU